AACGAACGCUGGCGGCAGGCUUAACACAUGCAAGUCGAACGCCCCGCAAGGGGAGUGGCAGACGGGUGAGUAACGCGUGGGAAUCUACCCAGUUCUACGGAAUAACCCAGGGAAACUUGGACUAAUACCGUAUACGCCCUACGGGGGAAAGAUUUAUCGGAAUUGGAUGAGCCCGCGUUGGAUUAGCUAGUUGGUGGGGUAAUGGCCUACCAAGGCGACGAUCCAUAGCUGGUCUGAGAGGAUGAUCAGCCACACUGGGACUGAGACACGGCCCAGACUCCUACGGGAGGCAGCAGUGGGGAAUAUUGGACAAUGGGCGCAAGCCUGAUCCAGCCAUGCCGCGUGAGUGAUGAAGGCCUUAGGGUUGUAAAGCUCUUUCAGUGGGGACGAUAAUGACGGUACCUGGAAAAGAAGCCUCGGCUAACUCCGUGCCAGCCGCCGCUGUAAGAC
rnacentral:rRNA from 1 species